AAUGAACGUUGGCGGCGUGGAUUAGGCAUGCAAGUCGCGCGGAGAGACCGUGGAAGGGACACUCGAGUGGCGAAAUGGACAGUAACACGUAGAUAACGUACCCCCAGGUCUGGGAUAGCUGCGGGAAACUGCAGGUAAUACCAGAUGACGUUUCCGAACCAAAGGUGUGAAUCCGCCCGGGGAGGGGCCUGCGGGCUAUUAGCUAGUUGGCAGGGUAACGGCCUACCAAGGCAAAGAUGGCUAGGCGGUGUGAGAGCACGACCCGCAUCACUGGGACUGAGACACUGCCCAGACACCUACGGGAGGCAG
rnacentral:rRNA from 1 species